UACAGAGGCCUCGAGCGUUAGGCGGAAUCACUGGGCUUAAAGCGUGUUUAGGUGGAUGCCUAAGUACCUUGUGAAAUCCCACGGCUUAACCGUGGAACUGCUGGGUAUACUGGGCGUCUUGAGCCACUCAGGGGCUACCGGAACAAGCGGUGGAGCGGUGAAAUGCGUAGAUAUCGCUUGGAACGCCAAUGGUGAAAACAGGUAGCUGGGGGUGUGCUGACACUGAGACACGAAAGCCAGGGGAGCAAACGGG
rnacentral:rRNA from 1 species